rnacentral:rRNA from 1 species
GAUGAACGCUGGCGGCGUGCCUAAUACAUGCAAGUCGAGCGAACGGACGAGAAGCUUGCUUCUCUGAUGUUAGCGGCGGACGGGUGAGUAACACGUGGCUAACCUACCUAUAAGACUGGGAUAACUUCGGGAAACCGGAGCUAAUACCGGAUGAUAUUUUGAACCGCAUGGUUCAACAGUGAAAGACGGUCUUGCUGUCACUUAUAGAUGGAUCCGCGCUGCAUUAGCUAGUUGGUAAGGUAACGGCUUACCAAGGCAACGAUGCAUAGCCGACCUGAGAGGGUGAUCGGCCACACUGGAACUGAGACACGGUCCAGACUCCUACGGGAGGCAGCAGUAGGGAAUCUUCCGCAAUGGGCGAAAGCCUGACGGAGCAACGCCGCGUGAGUGAUGAAGGUCUUCGGAUCGUAAAACUCUGUUAUUAGGGAAGAACAUAAGUGUAAGUAACUGUGCACAUCUUGACGGUACCUAAUCAGAAAGCCACGGCUAACUACGUG